UACAGAGGGGGCAAGCGUUGCUCGGAAUCACUGGGCGUAAAGCGCACGUAGGCGGAUUGCUAAGUCAGGGGUGAAAUCCCGGAGCUCAACUCCGGAACUGCCUUUGAUACUGGCGAUCUUGAGUCCGGGAGAGGUGAGUGGAACUGCGAGUGUAGAGGUGAAAUUCGUAGAUAUUCGCAAGAACACCAGUGGCGAAGGCGGCUCACUGGCCCGGUACUGACGCUGAGGUGCGAAAGCGUGGGGAGCAAACAGG
rnacentral:rRNA from 1 species